UACGUAGGGGGCUAGCGUUGUCCGGAAUCAUUGGGCGUAAAGCGCGUGUAGGCGGUUUGGUAAGUCUGCUGUGAAAGCCGGGGGCUCAACCCUCGGAUGCCGGUGGAUACUGUCGGGCUUGAGUACGGAAGAGGCGAGUGGAAUUCCUGGUGUAGCGGUGAAAUGCGCAGAUAUCAGGAGGAACACCAAUUGCGAAGGCAGCUCGCUGGGACGUCACUGACGCUGAGACGCGAAAGCGUGGGGAGCAAACAGG
rnacentral:rRNA from 1 species